rnacentral:rRNA from 1 species
AUUGAACGCUGGCGGCAUGCUUUACACAUGCAAGUCGAACGGCAGCGCGGGGGCAACCCUGGCGGCGAGUGGCGAACGGGUGAGUAAUGUAUCGGAACGUAUCCUGUAAUGGGGGAUAACCAGUCGAAAGAUUGGGUAAUACCGCAUACGCACGAGAGUGGAAAGUAGGGGAUCGCAAGACCUUACGUUAUAGGAGCGGCCGAUAUCUGAUUAGCUAGUUGGUGGGUAAAGGCCUACCAAGGCGACGAUCAGUAGCUGGUCUGAGAGGAUGAUCAGCCACACUGGGACUGAGACACGGCCCAGACUCCUACGGGAGCAGCAGUGGGGAAUUUUGGACAAUGGGCGAAAGCCUGAUCCAGCCAUGCCGCGUGCGGGAAGAAGGCCUGGUGUAACGCUUAGUCU